rnacentral:rRNA from 1 species
UACAGAGGGGGCAAGCGUUGUUCGGAAUUACUGGGCGUAAAGGGCGUGUAGGCGGCCUUCUAAGUCGAACGUGAAAUCCCCGGGCUCAACCCGGGAACUGCGUCCGAUACUGGAAGGCUUGAAUCCGGGAGAGGGAUGCGGAAUUCCAGGUGUAGCGGUGAAAUGCGUAGAUAUCGGGAGGAACACCUGUGGCGAAGGCGGCCGCCUGGUUGGAUACUGACGCUGAGACGCGAAAGCGUGGGGAGCAAACAGG